UCACAUAGCUGCCAAUCGGUGGAGUUGGGAUGCAGACCACAGCAGCUGGAUCUAGUCCAAGCAUAAGACUUCUCCAGUGGAACUGAGAAUUCCCAGUGGGCCCUCUGUUCUAGUUAAUUUUAUCUCUCUGGGCCUUCAUUUCACCAUCUGUAAAACCAAGAAAUGGGACUGGAUGGUUUUCAAAGCUCCUCACAGUUUGGAAACAGCGAAGCAGACCCCACCAGGACUGUACAACAUUAUGGAUAUCUCUCACAAGACUGGAAUUUCCACCAAGGCAAAGUGUAGCAACUCAAGCCACGUCUCAUAAAUCCCAGUGUUGCAUAUUCUCCUUAGUAUAUUUAAAAUGACAGCUGAUGAUAAAGGAAAAUCUGCU